CACUGUAGAGUGACGUAGCAGUGGAAGUCAGUGGUUCCAGCUAAUGAAAACCACUUUUAACUGAAUGGCGCAUUAACCACAUCACCCCUCCACAGUUUGCCUCUGGCUUCCUGUUACGGUAGAGGUAGAGAGGAGUGUAGGACAGCUUCCUCACAGAGGAUUUUGCAGUUGAAUCUUUUCGGUGCAUCGGUGAAGGUAAAAGGGUACUCCGGUUUCCUCCCACAGUCCAAAGACAUGCAGAUGAAUGCAGAGGAAGACCUUGCCUGGUGGAAGAGAAAGAAAUAGUUGCAUGAUAUAGGGCCACUUUUAAAGACAGUAAACAUAGUCCAUUGUGGUGUACUGAACCUCAAGAAACUCAACUCAGGUUAUUUAUAACUGAACCGCAGAAACAGUGAAAUGCAACACAACUCUGCAAAGUGUUAAAAGCUUGGUCAGGUUUGGCUGAAGGCAUUUGGUUCAAGUUAAACAAACCCCAAUUGUUGAGACAAAUGACAUACAUAUUUUUAAACAUAUUUUCUUGUUUACACAAACACAAUGUAUAGUAUAAGACUACACAGUAUA